AGAGUUUGAUCCUGGCUCAGGAUAAACGCUGGCGGCGCACAUAAGACAUGCAAGUCGAACGGAAGUCGUUAUACAAGGAGAGAAGAUUUAUCGGAUUGAAUUAUAUAACAAUGGCUUUAGUGGCGGACUGGUGAGUAACGCGUAAGAAAUCUACCUAUUAGAGGGGAACAACAAUGAGAAAUCAUUGCUAAUACCGCAUAUGCCAUAAACAUCGCAUGAUGAAAGUGGGAAAGGAGCAAUCCGCUGAUAGAUGAUCUUGCGUCUGAUUAGUUAGUUGGUGGGGUAAUGGCCUACCAAGACGACGAUCAGUAGCCGGACUGAGAGGUUGAACGGCCACAUUGGGACUGAGAUACGGCCCAGACUCCUACGGGAGGCAGCAGUCGGGAAUAUUGCGCAAUGGAGGAAACUCUGACGCAGUGACGCCGCGUGCAGGAAGAAGGUUUUCGGAUUGUAAACUGCUUUAGACAGGGAAGAAAAAGACAGUACCUGUAGAAUAAGCUCCGGCUAACUACGUGCCAGCAGCCGCGGUAAUACGUAGGGAGCAAGCGUUGUCCGGAUUUACUGGGUGUAAAGGGUGCGUAGGCGGAUUGGCAAGUCAGAAGUGAAAUCCAUGGGCUUAACCCAUGAACUGCUUUUGAAACUGUUAGUCUUGAGUGAAGUAGAGGUAGGCGGAAUUCCCGGUGUAGCGGUGAAAUGCGUAGAGAUCGGGAGGAACACCAGUGGCGAAGGCGGCCUGCUGGGCUUUAACUGACGCUGAGGCACGAAAGCGUGGGUAGCAAACAGGAUUAGAUACCCUGGUAGUCCACGCUGUAAACGAUGAUUACUAGGUGUGGGGGGACUGACCCCUUCCGUGCCGCAGUUAACACAAUAAGUAAUCCACCUGGGGAGUACGACCGCAAGGUUGAAACUCAAAGGAAUUGACGGGGGCCCGCACAAGCAGUGGAGUAUGUGGUUUAAUUCGAAGCAACGCGAAGAACCUUACCAGGUCUUGACAUCCCGAUGACCGCUUCUUAAUCGAAGCUUUUCUUCGGAACAUCGGAGACAGGUGGUGCAUGGUUGUCGUCAGCUCGUGUCGUGAGAUGUUGGGUUAAG
rnacentral:rRNA from 1 species